rnacentral:rRNA from 1 species
UACAGAGGGUGCAAGCGUUGUUCGGAAUUACUGGGCGUAAAGCGCGUGUAGGUGGCGAUGUAAGUCGGGUGUGAAAUCCCUCGGCUCAACCGAGGAAGUGCACUCGAUACUGUGUCGCUUGAGUGUUGGAGGGGAUGGCGGAAUUCCCGGUGUAGAGGUGAAAUUCGUAGAUAUCGGGGAGGAACACCUGUGGCGAAGGCGGCCAUCUGGACAACUACUGACGCUGAGGAGCGAAAGCGUGGGGAGCGAACAGG